UCAUCGAAAUUCUUUCAUGGAUAUUCGAGACCCUGGAAAUUAUCAGGUACAGGUUCAAGUGCAUCCACCUCCCAGUCACACUGCAGCUUAUCAGAUUAGAUAUUCCCUGAAGAAUAGAGACCAUGGAGACUAUAAUUUGCACAGUCAAAUGCAUUCACUUACGAUUUCAUCUCAUCAAAUACGACCAUCAGAUGAAAACUAUGGAUCAAACAAUCUACAAAGCUACAUGACAUACGGAAUGAAAUGCAUGACACUAGAUCACGCCAUACUACACCUCCAGAAGAAUUACCUUUGGAAACCGAGAAAGAAUUUGAUAAAUUUCAUGAAAGCCUUUCUGGACAACAGGAGAGACAUUUGGUAAAAUAUAGUUGUG